rnacentral:rRNA from 1 species
AGUGAACGCUGGCGGUAUGCCUAAUACAUGCAAGUCGAACGGCAGCACAGUAAGAGCUUGCUCUUACGGGUGGCGAGUGGCGGACGGGUGAGGAAUACAUCGGAAUCUACUUUUUCGUGGGGGAUAACGUAGGGAAACUGACGCUAAUACCUCAUACGACCUACGGGUGAAAGCAGGGGAUCUUCGGACCUUGCGCGAUUGAAUGAGCCGAUGUCGGAUUAGCUAGUUGGCGGGGUAAAGGCCCACCAAGGCGACGAUCCGUAGCUGGUCUGAGAGGAUGAUCAGCCACACUGGAACUGAGACACGGUCCAGACUCCUACGGGAGGCAGCAGUGGGGAAUAUUGGACAAUGGGCGCAAGUCUGAUCCAGCCAUACCGCGUGGGUGAAGAAGGCCUUCGGGUUGUAAAGCCCUUUUGUUGGGAAAGAAAAGCAGCAGGUUAAUACCCCGCUGUUCUGACGGUACCCAAAGAAUAAGCACCGGCUAACUUCGUG